ensembl:lincRNA Gm13799 predicted gene 13799
AAAUUCCAGAUUCCAAAUCUUCCCAGAUGUCAAAUAUCCAGCCUCCCAAUCUCUAAGAAACAUAUUUCAGUUAUUUAUAAGCUACCCAGUUUAAAGCACUUUGUUAUAGAUGCCUGAACAGAAGGAACUCAAGACCAUAUGUGUCUAUUUGAACAGCUAUGUGAUCUUAUAGGUAAAUGGCUGGUGAUGCCAUCUCUGUUUGCAUUUUUAUGAGUUGAUGGUGACAACGUGUCCUGAGAUAGCUGAAUGAAGCUUUUAUGGACAAGCAGAAUGCCAUUCAUAGUAAAGACAACAGUCAAGGUGGAAUAAAAAAGGAAGCCAAAGAAACAAGCUAGCAGUUGGUGGACUGGGGGGGUUCCGGUCCUCCAGUCUCCACCUUCACAUGCUGGUAUUUUUUUAACAUAAGAAAUAUAAGAGUUGGUCUUCCCGUGGCAAUAAACUCAACUAACAUGGACCUAUUGGGAGUCCCAGUGACCAAACCACCAACCAAAGAGCAAGCAUGGACUGAACCUGCCCCUCUUCCUCACACAUAUGGAGCAUAUGUGCAGCUAUGUCUUCAUGUGAGUCCCCAACAACUGUAAACGAGCUGUUCCUGAAUUUCUUGCCUGCCUGUGGAUCCUGUUCCCCUAACUGGGCCACUUAGGGUAAUUGUCUGGCCUCAGUGAGAGAGGAGGCACCCAGUUUGGCAGUGACUGAUGUGAGAUGGUGUGUGAUACCCAAGAGGUCCCCCUUCUCAGGGAAGAAGGAGAGGGGUGGGGGAGAAGCUGUGAGAGGGGGCCACUGAGAGAAGAAAAGGGUUAGUAUUGUGAUUCAAAGUGAAUAAAUAAAUUAAUUCAUU